GUAACAAGGUCUCCGUUGGUGAACCAGCGGAGGGAUCAUUACCGAGUUUACAACUCCCAAACCCAAUGUGAACGUUACCAAACUGUUGCCUCGGCGGGGUCACGCCCCGGGUGCGUCGCAGCCCCGGAACCAGGCGCCCGCCGGAGGAACCAACCAAACUCUUUCUGUAGUCCCCUCGCGGACGUAUUUCUUACAGCUCUGAGCAAAAAUUCAAAAUGAAUCAAAACUUUCAACAACGGAUCUCUUGGUUCUGGCAUCGAUGAAGAACGCAGCGAAAUGCGAUAAGUAAUGUGAAUUGCAGAAUUCAGUGAAUCAUCGAAUCUUUGAACGCACAUUGCGCCCGCCAGUAUUCUGGCGGGCAUGCCUGUCCGAGCGUCAUUUCAACCCUCGAACCCCUCCGGGGGAUCGGCGUUGGGGAUCGGGACCCCUCACACGGGUGCCGGCCCCGAAAUACAGUGGCGGUCUCGCCGCAGCCUCUCCUGCGCAGUAGUUUGCACAACUCGCACCGGGAGCGCGGCGCGUCCACGUCCGUAAAACACCCAACUUUCUGAAAUGUUGA
rnacentral:rRNA from 1 species